AGUGAACGCUGGCGGCGUGCCUAAUACAUGCAAGUCGAACGGAGUGGCGCACGGGUGAGUAAUGUAUAGCUAAUCUGCCCUACACUAGAGGACAACAGUUGGAAACGACUGCUAAUACUCUAUAGUGUAGGAUGAGGCUAUAUUGUAUCAGCUAGUUGGUGAGGUAAUGGCUCACCAAGGCUAUGACGCAUAACUGGUCUGAGAGGAUGAUCAGUAACACCCGAAGUGAGGCACCAGCCAGACUCCUACGGGAGGGAGCAGUAGGGUAUAUUGCCCAAUGGGGGAAACCCUGAAGCAGCAACGCGGCGUGGAGGAUGACAAUCUUCGGAGCGUAAACUCUUUUUGUUAGGGAAGCGGUACCUAACGAAUAAGCACCGGCUAACUCCGUGCCAGCAGCCGCGGUAAUUC
rnacentral:rRNA from 1 species